rnacentral:rRNA from 1 species
UACAGAGGGUGCGAGCGUUAAUCGGAAUUACUGGGCGUAAAGCGUGCGUAGACGGCUAUCUAAGUCGGGUGUGAAAGCCCCGGGCUCAACCUGGGAAUUGCAUUCGAGACUGAAUAGCUAGGGUACGGUAGAGGGAAGCGGAAUUUCCGGUGUAGCGGUGAAAUGCGUAGAUAUCGGAAGGAACAUCAGUGGCGAAAGCGGCUUCCUGGACCAGUAC